GAUGAACGCUGGCGGCGUGCCUAAUACAUGCAAGUCGAGCGAAAAGAUGAGGAGCUUGCUCCUCUGACGUUAGCGGCGGACGGGUGAGUAACACGUGGAUAACCUACCUAUAAGACUGGGAUAACUUCGGGAAACCGGAGCUAAUACCGGAUAAUAUCUUGAACCGCAUGGUUCAAUAGUGAAAGACGGUUUUGCUGGCACUUAUAGAUGGUUCCGCGCCGCAUUAGCUAGUUGGUAAGGUAAAGGCUUACCAAGGCAACGAUGCGUAGCCGACCUGCGAGGGUGAUCAGCCACACUGGAACGGGGACACGGUCCAGACGCCUACGGGAGGCAGCAGUAGUGAAUCUUCCGCAAUGGGCGAAAGCCUUACGGAGCAGCGCCGCGUGAGUGAUGAAGAUCUUCGGAUCGUAAAACACUGUUAUUAGGGAAGAACAAAUGUGUAAGUAACUAUGCACGUCUUGACGGUACCUAAUCAGAAAGCCACGGCUAACUACGUG
rnacentral:rRNA from 1 species